AUACGUAGGUGGCAAGCGUUGUCCGGAAUUAUUGGGCGUAAAGCGCGCGCAGGUGGUUCCUUAAGUCUGAUGUGAAAGCCCCCGGCUCAACCGGGGAGGGUCAUUGGAAACUGGGGAACUUGAGUGCAGAAGAGGAUAGUGGAAUUCCAAGUGUAGCGGUGAAAUGCGUAGAGAUUUGGAGGAACACCAGUGGCGAAGGCGACUGUCGGGUCUGUAACUGACACUGAGGCGCGAAAGCGUGGGGAGCAAACAGGAUUAGAUACCCUGGUAGUCCACGCCGUAAACGAUGAGUGCUAAGUGUUGGGGGGUUUCCGCCCCUCAGUGCUGCAGCUAACGCAUUAAGCACUCCGCCUGGGGAGUACGGUCUCAAGACUGAAACUCAAAUGAAUUGACGGGG
rnacentral:rRNA from 1 species